UGUCUAAUAACAUCUUCAACUUGUAGGUGGGCAUCAGAUAAUGAGCUUACAGGCAAGAUUCCAUAUUUCAUAGGAAGUUGGUCAAAUCUUACUAACAUGGUAUUACAAGGAAAUUAUUUUCAAGGUCCUAUACCAUCAACGUUUGUGAAUCUGACUUCUUUAGUACAAUUGGAUCAUGACGAGGCGACCUUUGGUCUUGCAGCUUGACAAGACAAACGAGGGAGCUUAGAAAUACGCUGAGUUUCUUCACCUUUGCAAGAGGAGAUUCACAGAUUUUGGUAUGUGGUGUAUAACUUAAAAAUAAAUUUGAUUCGUAUCUGUUUGUACAUGAUCAACUUGUUGCUCAUUUGUUCUCGUGUUGAUUUUUAGCUUGAUAACUUGUGUUUACAUGAAACAGCAAUUGAUGUUCAGUUUUUAAGUCACAUAAUUAUUUUUGCCAAAACUUGAGAAGAGAGUUGGCAAUUAGGAGUCAGAAAAUCUGAGGUCAAAUUUAGGUAAAGUUCUCGAAACUUCUGAUUUUUAUGAAUUUGAUCCCAGAAACUUGGCCUUUGUUUUUGGGGAAAUUUCUCAUGCAUAGUUCAAAGUACCGAUCAAUAAUAAAAGAGUUCUGUGAUUUUCUAUGUGAAUGCAAGGAUGUGUUGGAUGAAGCAACUACAAUGAAACUUUUAGAGAGGCUGAUAUGACCAUGUUAGAAGACGAACUAGCAACAAAAAGAUGACUUUCAUCAGCCCUUGUCAAGGUAUAUUGAGAUGAUUUCUUUGGAGCAAUUCUUGACAACAUUUGUAGUUUAGGCCUUUCGAAUGGAAGAAUGUAUUUCACUAAUUUUUGUAUACAUUUCUUGUUUUGUAUUUAGUGAUAAAGGAAUCUGAAUUGGGCAUAAACUAUGUUGUGAUAUGAUUUCUUAAGCCUAGACUAGUAGACUAA